rnacentral:lncRNA from 1 species
GAUUUUGAUUUAGUUUUCUAGAUUUUGUAUUUCAAAUUUUGUAUAUCUAGGUAAGUAUAUACUUAAUAUAUGCAAUAGACUCUUUGUUGUAUUCGGCUCAAUCCUUUUAGUAAAAGAUUGGGCCGAGUUUAAUUACAAUUCAAUUAAGAGAACGAAGGAUAAUUACUUGAGUUAUUUCUCCUUAUCCUUCUUUAUUUCCUGCUAAUUUAUCUGCUAAUGUCUAUUGUUUUA